GUUUGACACGGACCGACGGUGGCAGGUCUUGCCCCAACUUACGGUCGCGGUGCGAUGAC
rfam:Pseudomonas sp. HPB0071 genomic scaffold aczIi-supercont1.1, whole genome shotgun sequence.